rnacentral:rRNA from 1 species
UAAACUAGGAUUAGAUACCCUAUUAUUUUAAAUGUAAAAAUUUAUAAAUACUAAAUUAGUAUUAGUUAUGUUCUUGAAAAUUAAAAAAUUUGGCGGUAUUUUAGUCUUUUCAGAGGAAUCUGUCCUGUAAUUGAUAGUCCACGAUUAAAUUUACUUUAUUUAUUAGUUUAUAUAUCGUCGUAGUUUGAAUAUUUUAAAAGAAGUUUAAUAUUCGAAAUUUUAAAUUAAAAAAUAAAUCAGAUCAAGGUGUAGUUUAUAAUAAAGAAGAGAUGGAUUACAAUAAAUUUAUUUUAGGAUAAUUUAUUAAAAAUAAAUUUGAAUUUGGAUUUGAAAGUAAUUUUAAAUAUUUUUUUGUUAUGAUUAUAGCUCUAAAAUAUGUACACAUCGCCCGUCGCUCUUAA